GAGACGGAUAAUUGAGUCAAGCGCGGUAGUGACCUAGGUUAUGUAACUUUCUCAACUUUCAUUCCAAAAAUACAACAAGUGGAUGAAGUUGUUUGAAACUUGAGAAGAACUUUCCUAAAGGUUAUGCUAGUUUAGAUCAACGUGCUCUUGCUCGAGAUUGUUAGAAAAAAGCAGUAAACCUUGAUCCACACAUUGAGAGUUACGUCAAUAAUCUACAUGUAGCAGAAGAAAAACUGGGAGAAAAUCCUUUAUGAUC
rnacentral:lncRNA from 1 species